AUCAGCCCACCAUUUCACAGUCGCAAAUGGUGAUGAAUCGCUUUCAUCUGGUUUUAAAAGUUCGAGGAGACGGAAGACAAUUCUCCGUAAUACAACUUAUUAGAUCUUAUCUGUAUUAGGCACAGCAAUAUACAAAAAAGAAAAAAAAAAGAAACGGAAUCUAGCUAGGUCCGUAAAUUGUAAUCAUGGUUUCCAAAAAGAGAUGGGUAUGAGUUUAAGUCGUCAGGUCCUAACUUUUCUCUUCGAGUAAACUUGUUACUUGUUAGGUUCAAACUUGACAGCCCC
rnacentral:lncRNA from 1 species